UACGUAGGGUGCGAGCGUUGUCCGGAAUUAUUGGGCGUAAAGGGCUCGUAGGCGGUUUGUCACGUCGGGAGUGAAAACACCGGGCUUAACUCGGUGCUGGCUUUCGAUACGGGCAGACUAGAGGCAUGCAGGGGAGAACGGAAUUCCUGGUGUAGCGGUGAAAUGCGCAGAUAUCAGGAGGAACACCGGUGGCGAAGGCGGUUCUCUGGGCAUGUCCUGACGCUGAGGAGCGAAAGCGUGGGUAGCAAACAGG
rnacentral:rRNA from 1 species